rnacentral:rRNA from 1 species
UGGGGAAUAUUGCACAAUGGGCGAAAGCCUGAUGCAGCGACGCCGCGUGAGGGAUGAAGGCCUUCGGGUUGUAAACCUCUUUCAGUAGGGAAGAAGCGAAAGUGACGGUACCUGCAGAAGAAGCGCCGGCUAACUACGUGCCAGCAGCCGCGGUAAUACGUAGGGCGCAAGCGUUGUCCGGAAUUAUUGGGCGUAAAGAGCUCGUAGGCGGUUUGUCGCGUCUGGUGUGAAAACCCAUGGCUCAACUGUGGGCUUGCAUCGGGUACGGGCAGACUAGAGUGCGGUAGGGGAGACUGGAAUUCCUGGUGUAGCGGUGGAAUGCGCAGAUAUCAGGAGGAACACCGAUGGCGAAGGCAGGUCUCUGGGCCGCAACUGACGCUGAGGAGCGAAAGCAUGGGGAGCGAACA